AUGGUGGGGAAAGGAGGCGAGGCCGCGGCGUCGGCGCAGCACAAGGAGGAGCACGAGGAAGACGGCGACAUGGUUGGCGUGGUGAAGCUGAUCAGCGCCGAGGGUUUCGAGUUCGUCAUCGACAAGAAGGCAGCCAUGGUCUCCAACACCCUCAGGAACAUGCUCACCUCACCUGGUGGCUUCGCGGAGACGCGCGAGGGCGAGGUGAGGUUCCCGGAGAUCAGCACCGCGAUCCUAGAGAAGAUCUGCCAGUACUUCUACUGGUCGCUCCACUACGCCAGGUCACAUGCUCUGUAUCAUUUGUGUGAAGUCACCUCUUAUACACUACUACAACAAUCACGACACGCCAACAACACAUGCAGCUUUUGCAUCAAGCUACAAAUACGAUAUGGUUCCUACCACCUAAGCUACUCUGUCUCUGUUGUAGCUGUACCAAACCUAGAAAUUUUUUGUUAA
rnacentral:rRNA from 1 species